rnacentral:rRNA from 1 species
ACGGAGGGUGCAAGCGUUGUUCGGAAUUAAUGGGCGUAAAGGGCGCGUAGGUGGUUGUGUAAGUCAGAUGUGAAAUCCUUAGGAUUAACCUGAGAACUGCAUCUGAUACUGCAUGACUCGAGUACAGCAGAGGGAAACGGAAUUCCUGGUAUAGAGGUGAGAUUCGUAGAUCUCAGGAGGAACACCGGUGGCGUAGGCGGUUUCCUGGGCUGAUUCUGACACUGAGGCGCGAAGGCGUGGGGAGCAAAGAG